UGUUUUUUGGCGAGAAAAUUACG
rnacentral:snRNA from 1 species